rnacentral:rRNA from 1 species
AUUGAACGCUGGCGGCAGGCCUACCACAUGCAAGUCGAACGAGUGGCGGACGGGUGAGUAAUGUCUGGGAAACUGCCUAAUGGAGGGGUAUAACUACUGGAAACGGUAGCUAAUACCUCAUAACAACAUAUGUGCCCAGAUGGGAUUAGCUAGUUGGUGGGGUACAGGCUCACCAAGGCGACGAUCCCUAGCUGGUCUGAGAGGAUGACCAGCCACACGGGAACUGUGCCACGGUCCAGACUCCUACGGGAGGCAGCAGUGGGGAAUAUUGCACAAUGGGCGCAAGCCUGAUGCAGCCAUGCCGCGGGUAUGAAGAAGGCCUUCGGGUUGUAAAGUACUUUCGGCGGGGAGGCGUUACCCGCAGAAGAAGCCACGGUGAACUACGUGACAGCAGCCGCGGUAAUAC